rnacentral:rRNA from 2 species
AGCUCCAAUAGCGUAUAUUAAAGUUGUUGCAGUUAAAAAGCUCGUAGUUGGAUUUCUGGUGGGGCUGUCGGCCUGGCUCCGAAAGGGGUCGUGGUUAGUACACGCCUGGCCAUCCUCGGGGGAAGCUUUGCUGGCAUUAAGUUGUCGGCGGAGUGACGCUCGUCGUUUACUGUGAACAAAUUAGAGUGUUCAAAGCAGGCUUAGGCCGUUGAAUACAUUAGCAUGGAAUAAUGAGAUAGGACUUUGGUGGUCUAUUUUGUUGGUUUGCACGCCGAAGUAAUGAUUAAUAGGGGCGGUUGGGGGUAUUCGUAUUCAAUUGUCAGAGGUGAAAUUCUUGGAUUUAUGGAAGACGAACUACUGCGAAAGCAUUUACCAAGGAUGUUUUCAUUA